CUCAUGAUUUUGUAGAGUAUACAAGAAGAAUGGCACCAGCAUCUGCUUCUGGUGAGGGCCUCCGGCUCCUUCCACUCAUGGUGGAAGGCAAAGGGGAGCUGUUGUUUGCAGAGAUCACAAAGUGAGAGAGGAAGCAAUAGAGAGGGGGACAUACGAGGCUCUUUUCAACAACCAGUUCUCUUGGGAACUAACAGAGUGAGAACUUAUUCAUUCUCUCCACUCCAGAGCAUUAAUCUAUUCAGAGGGAUCUGCCUCCAUGACCCAAGCACCUCCCAUUCAACCCUAAUUCUGACACUGGGGAUCACAUUUCAACAUGAGAUUUGAAGGGGACAAACAUUCAAACUAUAGCACUUGGGAUUCCAGGCUACUGGACAGUUUCUGAGAUAAUAAUACAAUUAUCUUUUUUCUCUACUUUUACCCCUAGCCCCUCAAGUUGCCCAGAUUAAAAAAAUAUUCUGGAGCUGCCAUACCAUGUUGAUUACCACCCAUAAUUUGAUUUAGAGAACCUAGGCUCACUUAAAAUGACCACCUUUGGUUAAUAAUAAAAAUACUAGAUAAAAUUCACUGAACAUUUAUCAUGCUCUAGGAACAUUAUGUACAUAUUAUUACUUAAUCCUCCCCUUGUGAGACAGUUGAAUCUUGUGAGAAAUUAUUACAGAGAGGAGACAGAGGCUCAGACACAUGCUCAAGAUCACGUAUACAGUAAAUGAAGAACCUGGGAUGUAAUCGUCCUCUAAUUUAAGAGAAUGAAUUUUAAUUCCUGCAUACUACCUCUUGUUACCUUCCUUUUCCUACUUCUUGUUAUCUUAUCUCUUUCUUUUAUUUUUUGCCCAAAAUUAAAACAGAGGAAUUACUUCUAUUGAGUUAAAAGAAGUGUUACAGAUUAUCAUGAGAUCUAGAAUCUAAAUCCUUUUAUUAAUCUUUUUUAGAUUAAUUUUAUUGAAUAUAAAUUACAUGAAAUAAUAUAUCACAUUUUAAGCAUAACAGUCAAGCUGUUUUUGAAAAAUGUAUAUGUAGCAGGAUGAGCCACAGACAAAACCUCUCAGACACCAAGUUGUAGAAGGAAGGGCUUUAUUCAGCUGGGAGCAUCGGCACACUACUGCCUUAAAAUCCAAGCUCCCCAAGUGCACAAUUUCUGUCCCUUUUAAGGGCUCACAACACUAAAGAUUUCACAUGAAAGGGUUGUGAUUGAUUUGAGCAAGCAGGAGGUAUGUGACAGGGGCUGCAUGCACCAGUGGUCAGAGAGAAACAGAACAGGGCAGGGAGUUUCACAGUGUUCUUCUAUACAAUGUCUGGAAUCUAUGAAUAACAUCAGUUUCUAAGUUAUGAGUUGAUUUUUAACUACUGGGUUUAGGCCAGGCAGGCCCAGACCUGGUUUCGGGCCUGGCGUCAGGCUGCCUGUCUUUGGUUUUACUUCCUUGUUGUUUUUUCUUAAAACAGGUACUGAGUAUAAAACAAUAUAAAACAGUACGAGAGGGUCUCUCUCUUCCCUCAUUUACAUCUGUGUAACCACUAUCCUAAUCAACAUAUAGAAUAUUUUAUCACCUUUUAAGUUCCUAUGUGACUUACUGUUGUCAAUGUCCUUCUUCCAUUCCCAAUACCUGGAAACUACUGAUCUGAUUUUUGUCACCAUCGAUCAGAUUUGCUUUUUUCUAAAAUUUCGUAUGUAUACAAUUAUAUGGUAGGUAUUCUUUUGUGUCUAGCUUAUUUCUUUCAGAAUAAUGCUUUAAAAUUUAUCCAUAUUGGUGAAAGAAUCAGUACUUUAUUUCUUUUGGUUGCUAAGUACUAUUCAGUUUUAUGACUUGUGAUAUUAUGAAGUAUAUAUUCAAUCUUUGACCCCUUUUCCUGACAUACGACUCCUAAAAUACUUAGAAACUCUGAAGCGAUGUCUUAUCUUUGUUAAUGAUUGACUGAACGGAUGGCUGGCAGCCCCUGGGUAACUUCAGGAUGGGGGAUGGGAGAGACAAAGGCAUGAUUAGAGAGUUGGGACUUUCAGCUCCAUCCCCAAUAUCUGGGAAGGGGAGAGAGUCUGAAGGUUGACUACCAAUGGCCAAUGAUUUAAUCAAUUAUGCCUGUUUAAUGAAUCUUCCAUAAAAACCUAAAAGGACUAGGUUCAGAGAGCUUCCAGAUAGCUGAACACAUGGAGGUUCCUUGAGAGCGGUGUGCCCCAAGACAGUGAGGACGCUCUGCACCCCUUUCCCCCAUACCUUGCCCUUUGCAUCUCUUCAUCCUUAUGCUUUGUAAUAUAUGUAUGCCUUUAUAAUAAACUAGUAAAUGUAAGUAAGUGUUUCUCUGAGUUCUAUGAGAUGUUCUAGCAAAUUAAUUAUUAAUUGAACUCAAAUGGGGGGUCAUGGGAAUCUCAAUCUGGAAAGAAAAAUAAAAUCUGAAAACCACAAAGUUAUUAUGCCAAGGGGAAAAUUAAGGUUGGAAACGGAGUCACACAAAACACUGCCUUCCUUCUGUUCCCAAACAGGUAACUCUAAUUUCACAUGCUUACUCUAUCGUAUGUAAAAUGUAGAUUUACUGAGGAUGAGAUGAAUGCUUAAUUGAUUUUUUCCUCUACUCUCUUUUUUUCACACACAAAAUGUGGAUUCAUUGAGUGUUAAUCAAAGCCUUAUAAGAAUGUAACCACUUGUCUCAUUGCCUACUGUCCCUCCUUUUUUCCCCUUUCCCUCCUGCUUGCUCUUACACCUUAAAUAGUUAAGUUUCCAAAACCCUCUUUGGAAAAACACAGGUCAAGGAUCCUACUGUGACUUAUGUUUCUAUUUCCCAGGCAUAUCCUCGACUGGCAAAAUAAACCUCUAAUCAAUAGAGAUCUGCCUCAGUCACUUUUUGGCUUACAUGUUGGUGACCACGAAGGGACUCUGAGUGGAGUCUGGCUCUUGGCCUCCAGCAGGUCUCCUAUUGGGGCCCUGGUACCGGCUGGAGCUCUUUAUUACUCUUACAGAUUGGAUGAUUUGCUAUGUAAGUUCUGGGAACUUCUCCCUCCAGAGAUCCCUGAUCUCCCCCAAAUUUUCAAUUGGGAUCUGAGGUUUAUUCUGCUGUAAAACUCCUUUUCUGGUAGUUUCUGCUUCCAUGAUGGCAGACAGCAGUCUUCAGCUUGGGUCCAUCUCCAGUAAUAUCAUCAGGAAGACGGGUGCUUCACCAUGCUUCUGCCUGUACCAGUGUACAGAAUAUAAAGCCUUGGAGGAACUGCAGUUGAUGACAGCAUCUUCCCCUUCUCGGAGGAUCACGGCUUGAGGACUCUGCACUGGUUGUUGGCUUCUCACCCCUGAUCAGAAAGACAAUCGAAUGAGAUGCUCAAUCUCGUGAAGGGAAGGGUGAUUUUCUCUCUUCCUUCCUUAUUUAAAACAUUAAGCAUCACCACAUAAUUACGGUACAUUUUCCUCACUUCUUAGGUCUGGUUCUUAAAAGGGCCCUUCCCAAGACAGAAAGCUAUUGUCAUUAAGAUGCUGUCAUAUCACAACCUCUCCCAGACUGAAUCGUGUACUCACAGGUCAACUGCCACAACAAGGUGCCUGAAAGCACUUUCAGGAGAGUCUCCAUCCUUGGCCUGCCAGAAUAUCCAGUCAGCUUCUGAAUGGGCUUCCUUAACAGGAGUUGCUUUGAACUCAGAAUGAGGCCUGUUGCAAUUGCUUCCAGGAUAUUGCAACUUUGGGGGCAACCAAUCAGAGACACAUCACAACAGUUUAACUGCAGAGAACUAAAUGCAUCUACCUAGAAUACUUUUUAAACAGCUCUCCCCUGUGGCCAGACUGAGGAAUGUUGAUUAAACUGUGGAUUUUGGCUUUUCUUGAGUAAGUUUUCAUACAGGAUAGGUUUUUUUCUUGCUAUAAGAAGGGCCUAUCAAUAUACUGUGUUACAGAAAGAAUUACUCCAGAAUUAAGAGAAAAAAGAAGUAUCAAGGGAAAAUGUAUUAUAUGUAUUUUACUACAUAUAUAUAUUUUAUAUACAUGCCCACACAUGGAUAUAAUAUAUAAGUAUGUGAACUCAUAGUAAUCUUUCAAACAGUGACAUUUCAUUAUAUUAUUUACUUGUGCAGAUUUCUUUCACUGCUCAUCAUUGUCUUCAAGAUAAUGUAAUGUACAAACAUCUUAUAAUGGCUUUUAAUUAUUUUCACAAAGUGGUUUCUGCUUAUUGCUUUAGUUUUAUAUUUACUGACAUACAUUUUGAGUUGUAUGCUCUGGCCAUCCUGAAUUAGUUUAAUGUCAUUCUCUUAACCUAAAUAUUGACUUCAUGUCUUUGUACAUUCUAUUUAUCUUUUUCUGUAAUACCCUGUCUCUGACUCCAUUUUUGGCUAACUGUUUUACAGAUCUUAACCUAGAUACUACUUCCCGUAGGCAGCUUUCCCUUACAUUUAAGUUUCCAAAUUAAAUGCCACUGUUAGGUGGUUAUAUUCUACGCUUCUCCUAUGAUAGCUUUUAUUAUACUAUAUUGUAAUACACUCUGCAAUAUUACAUGCUCCCUGAAGGCAGAAACAAUGCCUUAUUCUUCUCAUUUGCAUCUAUUGUUUUCAAGUCUAAGACACAUAUUAGGUAUCAAAUGAAUAACCUUAUUAAGUGAAAUCUCAAGUAAAUAGAAAACAUAUUUGGUAACCUCACAAAUAUUAUGGUUACUCAUUUAUAAAACUGAGAAUUAAGGUACAACUGCUUUGCAGUGGUGGUUUGAACAUUUUAUGACAUACAUAAUUUUAAUUAUAGCAUAAUUCUGGCUUUUAGUCCUCAGGUUCAUUGUGUUCUGUGUCACCUUGUACAUGCUGUUUCUAUCUUUAAGAUCACUUUUACUACCUUCUCUGUCUUUCAACUUGAUUGACUCCUACUAAAUCUUUAGGUCUCAGCAUAGGCAAGACAUACUACAGGCUGCCCCUGACUCACCUCUAAGGCUAAGAUGGGGGUGGGACUUUCCAUAUGCCUUCAUACCUCCCUUUGCUUUCCCAAGGUUGGCCUCAUUUCACUUUACUCUGUCUGAUUAGCUGCCUACAUAACUAACUAGACUACAAUUUAGUCAAAGAAGAUAUGUAUUUUUCCAUAGCUCUUUUUUUCCCAGCAUGUAACAUUUAUGCAGAACUCAGCAGGCAACCAGUUAACAAUUGCUAAUUGAUAAAAUGAAUAAAACUUGAGACCGAUGUUAGCUGGAAAUCAUUGCCCUUGCAUUACAGAUGAAGGUCCUGAUAUAAAAUGUUAAGAAGUUGAUUCACUUGCUCAAGAAGACACAACACACUUAUGGCUAGAACAAUGCUAGAAAGUAUGUUUUCCCAAUGCUGUUUCCCAAAUAUAUUAGAUAAGAAAAGAACGUAAAUAGAUAACUGUGGGAAUGAAUGAAAUGUGAAAGUUGAAGCAGUCUGAAGAGCUUGAACAAAAAGACAGGGAUGAGAUUGAAUGUAGUAUUCCUUUUUCUGGUAUGAUUCUACGUUGCUUUAGAAGGAUAAAGACAGCAUUAAUAUAUUCCCUCCCCAUUAUGCAAGACAUGAAAUGGGGUAAAUGUAACAGCAGUUAGAGUGAAAAAUGUCCAUUGUAACAGAACUUUAUAAUGGGUUUCAGUAAUUUAUAAAUCAUGUUAAAUAUAUCUGAAAAGAAGAAAAGCUGAUUUAUUGUCUUAAGGUAUUUGAAAUAGUUUUGUUAAGAGCAGGGAUAUAUAGUAACUGGACUGAUUAUUCAGCUGAAUUUCCACAUUUUUUGAAACUGAAAUGAAAUGAUUCAUCGUAGCUACAUUUCUCUACACCCUGCUAGAAGACAGCAACAACUCUCGCGUGUCUGCCCUUUUGCUGGGAUCUGUGGCUACAGCUUUGAAUUUGGGAACAGGCUCUGGAUGCCUGUGAGCAAAGAGUAUGCACAGCAGACUCUCUGCUCAGAGUAGCUGAGGCUCUAGAGUAGGAGCCCGAGAUGUGCAUGGAAUACCCUAAGUAUGAAGAGUGAUGCUUAAUAUUCCUUCCUGCUUUUCAUUCUCAUUUACGUGCAUUACGAAAAGGAUCUUGGAAUUUUUCCUGCCUAUACCAAUGUAAGCCAUAAAAAGAACAGAAAAAAUACUGCAUGUGAUAUUGGUGCUCCUGGAUAUGGAGGGAUAAUAAAUCUAAUUCACACUGAGUUAGCUUUACAUCCAUGUUCAGGAAUAUAGAAUUAAAUAUGAGAGAAUUGAUCAACCUACAGAUUUUACCUUAUAGUUAAACCAACCCCACAAGGAUCCCUAGAUGAACAAAGCUAAGCCAACCUAUAUAUCACCCCUAUUCUGAUAAAAAAUGUCUUCAGCAUUCCUGAAAUCACUGUUCCUGAAGUCACUGUUCAGAUUAUGCCAUAAGUAAUGGGAUUUACAGAGGCUUCCGCAUGCUUCUUGGGAAGUAUCCUGAAUUUCUGUAUCUUCUCUCUGUAAAGAUCUUCAGCUUCAGAAAAUCAGCCUGUGAGGAACAAGCUCUAAUCAUUUAUCUACAAAUACAAUAUACAUAUAAAACCAUAAUUUCAGCUUUUAAUUCUCUAUGAGUGAUAAUCUCACUCUUCUAUAGGUCAAUGAUGAAGACAUGUAUGAUAAGAAUUUUAAAGAUUGCUAGCUGUUCAAAAGCAUGACUUGUUAAUAGCUUCUGUAGGAAGGGCCCAUACUUGGUGGUUUGGGGCAUGAGUGACCAUGAACUCUCUUUUCUCACAAAGUUAGUGAUACUGAACAAAUCCCUGAACUCCCACAGCCUGUUUUCUCUACUAAAAUAUGGAUUAUUCUAAUAGUUGUCUUAAAUAAUUAUUAGAAGAAUUAAUGUAAUACAUGCAAAACAGGUGGAAUAAUAGAAGUUCAACAUAAUCUAGACAUUAUUACCAUUACACAACAGUGUGCUCUAAGUGAUAAAAUUCUUUCUCAUGGAGCUACAAGUAACAAUUCUGAUACCACUAUACAUGUUUAAUGGAAUUGGACUAUGAUGUAAAUGAAUAGUGGGUGGUAAUGACAAAAAUUCUUUGCUUGACCAAACUUUAGUCAGGCUUUUGAAGUUUCUCCUAAGCUCAUCUGUACAUUUUCUUGUAAAAUGUAGUUUUAACAAGAAUCCUUCUAAGUCAGUUUAGCAAGAACCACACCCUCCCCUGCUGCCCUCGUCAUCCUCCGCUUGAUAUCUGAUUACACUCCAUAUCCAACUGGGCUCCUCAUCCUCUAUCAUCCCCCAGGGGAUUGAUGUCUGAUCACCCUGACCUGUCUUCUGCAAGGAUCCUGUUUGGCUGGUCUAGCCAGACUAUCCCUUGGUUCUAAUGUUUCCUCUUAGUAAUUUCCUAUCCACUGACCCCUAAUCUGCCCCUUGGCUAGAAAUCUCCACUUGUCUAUGCUGUAUUCGGAGUUGAAUCCAAUUCUUCUCCCUCACUGCAAAAUCCUGUUGCAGUGGUCUCUGUACCUAUCAUGAUGGUCCUAAAUAAAUUCUGCCUCACCGUGUUUUAACAAGUAUUACUGAAUAACUUUUUGUUAACAGUGAGAGCCAGGCUGUGCACCCCUGUAGUGGGAAUUUAUGGAUAAGUAAGGGGAGGAGGCUAGUGUGAUCCACGUGGUAAUGAUUUAGCAUUGGAGACAUUGCUAAGAACGAAUGUUUAACUUAAUAUAGAUACAGAUGGUUAUGCUACAUAUAGAAAUAUUUAUAGAUAUGCAGAUAUACAUAAGUUAGUAUUCACACAUGCAAUUCUUUGCUCAGAAAUGCCUGUACACUGAGAAAAACUAAAAGAAAAGACAUCUCAGGAAAUGUUCAUCACUGGAAGAACCUGCAGUAGGACCUUGGUUUUCCCAUUCCAAACACACAUCCUUGCCCCCUAGUAUACAAGGGAGACAGGGCACCCGCAUUCCAGAAGCUAGCAGAAACAAAGCAUCACUAGAGAUUUAUGCUUUAGCUAAAUCAGCAACCUCUUUCUGAAAGUAGAAAAGGAGAGUGGUUAGACUCUUAAACACUCUAAAACUCAGGGAACUUUCUUAACUUAUUUGUAAGGUUUUGUCAUGUAUCAGUCUUUCUUUAGGCUCAACUUGCCUCACCUACUUCAAAG
rnacentral:lncRNA from 10 species